UGAACGCUGGCGGCGUGCCUACUACAUGCACGUCGAGCGAACAGACGCGGAGCUUGCUCCUCUGACGUUAGCGGCGGACGGGUGAGUAACACGUGGAUAACCUACCUAUAAGACUGGGAUAACUUCGGGAAACCGGAGCUAAUACCGGAUAAUAUAUUGAACCGCAUGGUUCAAUAGUGAAAGACGGUUUUGCUGUCACUUAUAGAUUGAUCCGCGCCGCAUUAGCUAGUUGGUAAGGUAACGGCUUACCAAGGCAACGAUGCGUAGCCGACCUGAGAGGGUGAUCGGCCACACUGGAACUGAGACACGGUCCAGACUCCUACGGGAGGCAGCAGUAGGGAAUCUUCCGCAAUGGGCGAAAGCCUGACGGAGCAACGCCGCGUGAGUGAUGAAGGUCUUCGGAUCGUAAAACUCUGUUAUUAGGGAAGAACAAAUGUGUAAGUAACUAUGCACGUCUUGACGGUACCUAAUCAGAAAGCCACGGCUAACUACGUG
rnacentral:rRNA from 1 species